GAGAAUUGGGCAAGGAGAGACCCAUAAAAUACCUAAGACGAAAGUUACUAGGAUAGCCAAGGGCUUGUCUUCCGGGUGGCGCCGAGGCCAGGAAACUGUCCUCUCUAACCUAUUUCCCCAGAGGAGUCUAAAUUGGUCGUUCAACUACCAGCAAGGGCUAAAGAGAGGCUGGAGCCCCCAGGACAGCCAGAACGCUGACACUGCAAAGGGCCUCUGUCCUUACUGGGGAAGCCCAGUCCUGCUCAGCUGUCUUCUUCAGCAACAAACAGAAGUCCAGAAAGAGAAACAGUUGUGGAGGAAGCUGUUGUGAUGAUAAUUUACUGAGCACCUACUAUGUGCCAGGCACGCCAGCCUUACCAGACAAGAUCCUUGGGCUCAUGGAAUUCACUUUCUCGUGGGACAGACAAACAAUAACACGUAGAAACAUAUCAGCUGUUGACCAUGCGGCUGAUGCCCUGGGAGGGAGGCCACUUGCUUAAGUCCUCCAGGAGGGCGAUGGAGGAGCCGGCAUUCAAACCAGGCUCAUGGAUGCCAAGGUAUA
rnacentral:lncRNA from 1 species